rnacentral:rRNA from 1 species
GACCUGAGUUCAGGCAAGA